rnacentral:rRNA from 1 species
GACGAACGCUGGCGGCGUGCUUAACACAUGCAAGUCGAACGGAAAGGCCCUGCUUUUGUGGGGUGCUCGAGUGGCGAACGGGUGAGUAACACGUGAGUAACCUGCCCUUGACUUUGGGAUAACUUCAGGAAACUGCGGCUAAUACCGGAUAGGAGCUCCUGCUGCAUGGUGUGGGUUGGAAAGUUUCGGCGGUUGGGGAUGGACUCGCGGCUUAUCAGCUUGUUGGUGGGGUAGUGGCUUACCAAGGCUUUGACGGGUAGCCGGCCUGAGAGGGUGACCGGCCACAUUGGGACUGAGAUACGGACCAGACUCCUACGGGAGGCAGCAGUGGGGAAUAUUGCACAAUGGGCGGAAGCCUGAUGCAGCAACGUCGCGUGCGGGAUGACGGCCUUCGGGUUGUAAACAGCUUUCGAAUGUGACGAAGCGUGAGUGACGGUAAUGGGUAAAGAAGCAACGGCUAACUACGUG